UCCAAUAAGAGAUAAGGUGUCGAGACUGUC
rnacentral:piRNA from 1 species